rnacentral:lncRNA from 1 species
AUUUAUCUAACUGGUCUGAAAUGCAUUUUUAUGAAUGUUUAGCAUUUAUUUAUUGCAAAUUAAGGUUCAUAUUUUCAGUUUUUUGAUAUUUGGAAGAACUUGCAAACUUGGGAACUCAUUAACCAAGAACUACCUGUAUAUCAUUUGCUACUAUUGUGAUUUCAAGUAUCUGAGACAGGGCUUGGAACUUAUUUAUUGUAGAUAUGGGAUCCUACUGUAUACUCAUAUAGAUUUAUAAGAAGAAAAAUUCAUUGGGAAAUCAAAACAAAAUUGAAUUUUAAUCUAUAAAUCUUUAUUUGAAAAAAAUUAAUGCUAAGACUUUAAAUAAAGUAUAAUGCUAAAGUUAAAUUUCAUUUAUACAAAUGAAUACUGAGGAUACUGAGGCCAGG